rnacentral:ncRNA from 1 species
CGACCCCAGGUCAGGCAGGAUCACCCGCUGAGUUUAAGCAUAUCAAUAAGCGGAGGAAAAGAAACUAACAAGGAUUCCCUUAGUAAUGGCGAGCGAACCGGGAAGAACCCAGCUUGAAAAUCGGACGUCUUCGGCGAUCGAAUUGUAGUCUGGAGAAGCGUCCUCAGCGACGUACCGGGCCCAAGUUCCCUGUAAAGGGGCGCCAGAGAGGGUGAAAGCUCCGUCGUGCCCGGACCCUGUUGCACCACGAGGUGCUGUCUACGAGUCGGGUUGCUUGGGAAUGCAGCCCCAAUCGGGCGGUAAAUUCCGUACAAGGCUAAAUAUGGGCAAGAGACCGAUAGCGAAUAAGUACCGCGAGGUAAAGAUUAAAAGGACUUUGAAAAGAGAGGCAAAGAGUGCUUGAAAUUGUUGGGAGGGAAGCUGAUGGGGGCCGUCGAUUCUUCCCGGUCGGAUGCGGAACAGAGCAAUCCGGUCCGCCGAUCGAUUCGGGCUGUUGACCAAUGCGGAUUAAGAUGGUGACCUAAGCCUGGGAUUUUGUUACGCCCGCGGAGACGUUGCUAACUUAAUCGUGGUCUGCAGCACGCGC